rnacentral:rRNA from 1 species
AUUGACCUCGGAUCAGGUAGGGAUACCCGCUGAACUUAAGCAUAUCAAUAAGCGGAGGAAAAGAAACCAACAGGGAUUGCCUUAGUAACGGCGAGUGAAGCGGCAACAGCUCAAAUUUGAAAUCUGGCCCUGUCGGGGUCCGAGUUGUAAUUUGUAGAGAGUGCUUCGAGUGAGACCACGGUCUAAGUCCAUUGGAACAUGGCGUCAUAGAGGGUGAGAAUCCCGUAUGUGACUGUGGCUCGAGCCCAUGUGAAGCCUCUUCGACGAGUCGAGUUGUUUGGGAAUGCAGCUCAAAAUGGGUGGUAAAUUUCAUCUAAAGCUAAAUACUGGCUGGAGACCGAUAGCGCACAAGUAGAGUGAUCGAAAGAUGAAAAGCACUUUGGAAAGAGAGUCAAACAGUACGUGAAAUUGUUGAAA